rnacentral:lncRNA from 1 species
AAAUUUCCAGCCUUAAAUCUAAUAUUUUUAUCAUUUGAAAGAAGACCUCCAUAGUUGCCAUAAGGUUCAUCAUUGUUGCCCCUUUGUUGUCUCUCAAGUAAGUAUUUUGUUCCGUUUUCUUAUCAAAAUUUUUUAUAAAAAAACCAUUGUUCUAGAUCUGGAAUUUUGAUGAUUUUUAAUGAUUUAAAUGAUAAAUUUCCAGCCUUCAAAUUUAUUUUUAUUAAGCUCUCAAAGCAGCCCCAAAAUUGUUGUCGUUGGUGGUGGUUGACGCCCCUAAAGUCUUUCUUUUUGUGGCUGUCGUUUGGAUCCUUAAAGUCGAUUUAAAAUAAUGAUUCCAACCUUUAUUUAAUUUUCUUUUAAAGAAUAAAAUAUAUCCUUUUCAGCCCUAAAACAAAUCUCUUUGGUGUUUUUCAAAACAGUCCCCUUCGUAGCCAAUUUUGGUGAAUUGUCGCUCUUAGAUCUACCAUUAGGGGGCUGCCGAUUUUUAUUAUUUUUACCACUUAUUUCCAGAAAGGUUUAAUAUGAUAAACCACUUCCUAAUCAACCUUUAAUCAUUUAUUAUUUAUGAAAAUUUGAUCUUAAUCAUUCGGCAACUCAGAUCUGACAAAUCGGGAAGCGUAAGUGCAGUUGUUUGCAGGUUAUUGGGUAGUAUCGAUUCUAUUGUUAAGGGGUUUGUUGGUUGGAUAAAUUGGGGUUAAUUUAUGGUUUUUUAGCUACUUAAUUUUAUUAUUUUAUCGUGUUAGUGUCUGAUUUAAAUGUCCCAGACCAACAGUGAAGCCGUUAGUCGUCCGCGCUCACGAUUCGCAUAGAAUUAGUGUAACUAGUCUAGUCAAUUUGGAUCUGAAAGUUGGUUGUUGUAACACUAACUUGAUCAAAACCUUAGAGGGUGUCUUAUGACUGAUUUAGCAGCAGUUUAUCGAUAAAUUUUGUAUUUUAGCUUAGGUUCAAUUUAAGUCUAAAUGUGGAAUCGUGGGUUUGCAAGUAGUGCUACAGUUGUGCGAAAUUAAGGUAUGGGUUCUAACCUGUAAACUUGAAUGUUUAAAAAUAUUUUUAGUGAUUAAAUAGAUGUUUAAGAUUGCUGUCCGGGCUGAGUUAAAUGGCUAAGUAAGUGAUUUUAAGGUGGCCGAAUCAGGUACGUUUCGAGCCCCAGCUAAAUUGCAUGUUCGCAAAGUUGCAUGGUUGACUGAUUGUUUGUAUGACUAGUAUUGGUAUGAAAUAACAUGAAUGGUUUGAAUAUAUAAUGUAUGUUAGAUUUAUGUAUAGUGCAUGUUAAAAUGAAAAUAAAGAUUGAAUGCAUGAAAUGUAUGCUUGAGUGAAAUGUUAUGAAAUGUACUCAUGGAAAGCUUGAUCUAUAGGCACUGAAAGUUGUUUACGAAAUGAAAGACUUGAUAAAAGACACCACUGUGAGGGAAUGAAUGUUAAUGAAGGCGUGUAAUUCAUGCCACUGAAAUGUGAUUAUGAUGAAGACAUGAUCUUGCUUGCAUUUUGUAUGAUGCAAUGCAUGUGCGUAAAGUGAGAUAUUGUGGAUGAUGGAGGAGAUUCGUGGAGUAAUGGUGACAUAUUAAGACCCAAUUUAUGUUGUAAGUGCACUGCACUAGGAGUAAUGAAGAGAAUAAUGAUUAUAUCACAUUUUAAAUUCCAUUAUAACUACAUUACGUAUAAUGGUGGUUUAACCACAUCGAGCUUAGCUCACAAUGUUUGGAGUUUGGCAGACGGGUUCUGGGAACUCGUGGUGUGUAGCGGAUGGUUGGGUAGGAUUCUUUAUGCAUUUCAUUAUGUUUGACUAAUGUUUGUAUGGUUAAUUGACUGUUUCUACUGUUUAGACUCACACAAAGCUAGUUAGCUCACCCCAUAGUUUCAAACAUCUCAGGUAAGUUAUUUGGACUGUUCUUAAGGCUAAGUUCAGACACGACAUGCGAACACACAACGUACUUCGGACUAAUAAUUUGUUCUGCUUCAUUUUUACUUAAAUUUAUUUGGUUU